UACGGAGGGUGCGAGCGUUGUCCGGAAUCACUGGGCGUAAAGGGCGCGUAGGCGGCGCGGGUAGUCAACGGUGAAAGCUUGGGGCUCAACCCCGAGUCGGCCGUCGAUACUCCCGUGCUUGAGCACUGUAGAGGCAGGUGGAAUUCCGGGUGUAGCGGUGGAAUGCGUAGAGAUCCGGAAGAACACCGGUGGCGAAGGCGGCCUGCUGGGCAGUAGCUGACGCUGAGGCGCGACAGCGUGGGGAGCAAGCAGG
rnacentral:rRNA from 1 species